rnacentral:lncRNA from 1 species
UUUCCACGUCCGUGUGGCGCGGCGCGCGGCUCCGCGACGUGCUGCUCCGGUGCGGCGUCAUGUCGAAAAAGGGGCAGGCCCUGAACGUGUGCUUCGAGGGCGCCGAGGACCUCCCCGGCGGCGGCGGCUCCAAGUACGGCACGAGCGUGAGCCGGGAGUGGGCGAUGGACCCGUCACGCGACAUCAUCCUCGCCUACGCGCAGAACGGGGAGCCGCUGCUGCCGGACCACGGCUACCCGGUGCGCGUCCUCAUCCCGGGAUGCAUCGGCGGCCGCAUGGUCAAGUGGGUGCGGCGGAUCGUGGUCACCACCGCCGAGUCCGACAACUACUACCACUUCAAGGACAACCGGGUGCUGCCGUCCCACGUCGACGCCGAG